CGCUUUAUAUAAAAAAUAAAAAUACACAGAAAUAAAUACUUUUAUUCAGGAAAGAUGCAUUCAACUGAUCAAAAUUGACAGCAAAGAUUUCAAAUGCUGUUGUUUAGAAUUUUAUAUUCAUCAAAAAAUUCUAAAACAAAAAAAAGUACCACAGUUUCCACAAAGGUCAUGUGACACUGAAGACUGGCGUAACGGGGCAAAAUGUGAGUUCAUGGAUGGGUGCCACCACUUCUGGAUGCCUCUGACUCGUGGACAGGAGAGACCUCAUGGAACAGACUCAUGCACAGGAGAGAGCAGACACACAUAAUGGCAACCACCAUCACAGGCAGCGCAGUAGACAGAGGGAGGUCUGUUGGGUCCGAGAGUGUCAAAGCUGUGAGGCUUGGGAGCGUAAAGACCACUGGGACGCCAGCCACUCGCACUGACAUUAAAGCACUAAAUCAUGAAUAAUAUCACAGCGUCAUGUGGAGAGAUUCAGUCUGCUGUGGGGUUUGUGUAUGUGAUUCUGCCUGUUGUACUGAAUAAAACCAACAAUCCUGACUGUGAGCAGAGCUGGUAUUCACAGGAUGGGCGUGUGAUAGCAGAUCCAUCAGAUCCUCAAACACUGAUUGAUCCUGUUAUGUCUGUCUCAUCUGAUCGUCUCGUCACUUCUUACUGUGUGGAUGAACUUGGUCAUGAGAUCAUCUGUGAUACUUCAGGAUUCAGAAUGGAGACCAUGUUCAGAGUGAGGAAUGAGACGGACCCCAUCAGCGGAUCCACACAAACUCCAAACUCAUAUCGGUUGUGGUGGCUUUUUGCUUUGUCGUCAUUGUUCUUAUCAUCAUCAUGAUCUGUUUCAUGCUGUGGUACAGGUGCUGUAAGAAAGAAUCACAUCUCCCGUGCAGCCACCGAUGAGGAAAUUCUGAAACAUGACACAAUGUGGUUUUAACUUGGCAGCAGAUCGGGGAAGCUCCGUCCAACUGUCAUCACUCAGGAGUAAAAAACUCAAAUGUUUUUUAUGAAAUAAAAUUAUUUUCUUGGUGAAA
ensembl:lncRNA